rnacentral:rRNA from 1 species
UACGUAGGGUGCUAGCGUUGUCCGGAUUUAUUGGGCGUAAAGGGCUCGUAGGCGGUCUGUCGCGUCGGCUGUGAAAACUCGGGGCUCAACUCCGAGCUUGCAGUCGAUACGGGCAGGCUAGAGUUCGGCAGGGGAGACUGGAAUUCCUGGUGUAGCGGUGAAAUGCGCAGAUAUCAGGAGGAACACCAAUGGCGAAGGCAGCUCGCUGGGACGGUACUGACGCUGAGACGCGAAAGCGUGGGGAGCAAAUAGG